UACGUAGGGUGCGAGCGUUAAUCGGAAUUACUGGGCGUAAAGCGUGCGCAGGCGGUUUUGUAAGCCAGAUGUGAAAUCCCCCGGGCUUAACCUGGGAAUGGCAUUUGGGACUGCAAGGCUGGAGUGCGGCAGAGGAGACUGGAAUUCCUGGUGUAGCAGUGAAAUGCGUAGAUAUCAGGAGGAACACCGAUGGCGAAGGCAGGUCUCUGGGCUGACACUGACGCUCAUGCACGAAAGCGUGGGGAGCAAACAGG
rnacentral:rRNA from 1 species